UACGUAGGGUGCGAGCGUUGUCCGGAAUUAUUGGGCGUAAAGGGCUCGUAGGCGGUCUGUCACGUCGGGAGUGAAAACUCAGGGCUUAACCCUGAGCCUGCUUCCGAUACGGGCAGACUAGAGGUAUGCAGGGGAGAACGGAAUUCCUGGUGUAGCGGUGAAAUGCGCAGAUAUCAGGAGGAACACCGGUGGCGAAGGCGGGUCUCUGGGCCGAUACUGACGCUGAGGAGCGAAAGCGUGGGGAGCAAACAGG
rnacentral:rRNA from 1 species